GUAGGUUCGAAUCCUGCCGUUGUCG
rnacentral:tRNA from 1 species